rnacentral:rRNA from 1 species
GAAGGGACCUAGCGUAGUUCGGAAUUACUGGGCUUAAAGAGUUCGUAGGUGGUUGAAAAAGUUAGUGGUGAAAUCCCAGAGCUUAACUCUGGAACUGCCAUUAAAACUUUUCAGCUAGAGUAUGAUAGAGGAAAGCAGAAUUUCUAGUGUAGAGGUGAAAUUCGUAGAUAUUAGAAAGAAUACCAAUUGCGAAGGCAGCUUUCUGGAUCAUUACUGACACUGAGGAACGAAAGCAUGGGUAGCGAAGAGGAUUAGAUACCCUCGUAGUCCAUGCCGUAAACGAUGUGUGUUAGACGUUGGAAAUUUAUUUUCAGUGUCGCAGCGAAAGCGAUAAACACACCGCCUGGGGAGUACGACCGCAAGGUUAAAACUCAAAUGAAUUGACGGGGACCCGCACAAGUAGUGGAGCAUGUGGUUUAAUUCGAAGAUACGCGCAGAACCUUACCAACACUUGACAUGUUCGUCGCGACUCUAAGAGAUUAGAGUUUUCGGUUCGGCCGGACGAAACACAGGUGCUGCAUGGCUGUCGUCAGCUCGUGUCGUGAGAUGUUGGGUUAAGUCCCGCAACGAGCGCAACCCUCACUUUUAGUUGCCAUCAUUA